rnacentral:lncRNA from 1 species
UAUACACUCUUUGUUCCUGCCAUUAAUUUCUUUCUCGCCUAAAAUAUACCUUUCACUCUUUUUCUCCCAAAUUGAAGCCCUACAAUUUCCCUGUACACCAAAAAUUCUCUCUGUGUUAGAGCUUUACAUAGCAACUCACUCAGCAGAUGGACAUCACAGCACAUGUUGCUUACUGCCAUGUUAACAGGUCCUUGCAGGAGAGCAAAUGAAAAGAUAUAAUAAUGCAAGUCAAGAGGGAUUCUGGGCAAAUGUCUAGAUUGUUCAGUUACAGAUCUGGGCCCAGUGGAAUUAUCAGCCCUGAAAACCAGAUGCCUGACAUCUUUGCUGUGUCAGUCCAUGCAUCUGCAGCAGCUCUAAGCCUCCCCUCUGUGUUAGACAAGCAGGUUUCACAGCAGCAGCCACUGCAGUGCAUGUCUGCCAAGCCUCUCCUGGGUCUAUACACCAAACUGCUAGAAAACAGGACUCGACUGGAAUUAGAAACUUGAAUUUUCUAUCCAAAGAAAUAAACAGUACACAGCCUAAAAGGUUUUUUCUUCUCCAUUAAACAUACAGAGGAAAUUUUGCUGCUGGAGCAUUGCUCAAUCCCCCACCAUCUCAACGAGUUCAUACUGUGUAAAUAUUGUGAUCUUAAUAAAUAAAUACUGAAGCACAGCUGGCGCCGGCAAGAUAUCGCUGUUAGGUUGCCGUGGCCCUGUUAUCACCAGUGGGUGUUGCUAAUUAUUCUCAGAACUGAGGCUCUGGCAUAGGAGGGGAAAGGAAUGGAGAGGAAAGUCAACAGAGGUUGAAACAAAAAUAAAACAUUGUUUGUUUCGGUCCAUAGCAAGGGCAUUCCACCCUUGUGAAAACCAGAGAUACAUAUAGCUUAGGUAUGUGAGUUGCUUUUCUCCGUAAAAAUGAUUUAACAACACUAUUUAUUUCAGUCCUUGAUUGCAUUCCAGCUGAUUAAAAUUCACACCACUCGUUUGUAAGGGCAAGAGGAGGUAAUUGGGGUGUUCAAAGGACAGCACUGUGAACCUGAAUAUCUUAAAUGAAUGAGUUUACCAACAGAAAAGAUUUCUUUUUUCUUCUUCCCUUGUAUUCUGGCAGGUGUGUUAACGACCUAGCUCUGCACAUUGCACACAAAAGAGGUUCAUUGUGCGUAACUGUCUUGACUUGAGAAAGCAGCUGCUUUUUAGAUAUGUUGUCAAGCAGGAAAGGAGCUGCAUAUGAAUAGCUACCUUCUUUUUUGAAAAUGCCAAGGUUAAUUUUUAAUUGCUGGCAGCAGAAUAGCCCCUAUGACCACAGCAUUCCAUGCAGGUAGAGUUUGUGCUGGCUCAUCAAAUUACUGCUGCCUCUCGAGUCAUGUUUUGUUUUCUGACUCUGAGCCCAAUGGAUAAGCAGAGAGUACUGUUAAAGAGCUGCUGGCAUCAUGUUGUGCUAUUACAGUAAAGAAGCUACUCUCAGUUACUACUGUCAGCAUUUCAUCGGACAACAGGGAGGUGUGACUUCAGAAAAUACUAAUUACCAUACUUAAAAGUCAGAUACUUCCUCCUAGUUCUCCUUCCUUUGCUGCUUCUCUCCUGGUCUACCUUGGCAACCCUUCUUAAUCAACCCUUAACAUGCCAUUUUUCACUCCCAUUGUUAAGUGGAUUUAGAUUCUAAGAGAUGAUUUGGAGCCAGCUGUUCCUAUGCUUCUUACAGGGACAUCUCUGUCCACUAAAAUCUAUUACUGGGUCUGAGACUGUUGGUAAUCCCCUGCUGCUUUAUUCAAAAAUGACUCAACAGGAGGCAGUAUAUUCCGGGGUUUUUCUAGCCUAGGGAAGAAAAACAUUCAACACUUGCUGAAACUAUAGGGAAAUUUCUGUCAGGCAGAGUAUGUUUAGAAGAAACUCUUUGUUUUUUCAUAGUUUUUAUUCUUGCCAGGAUUAUUCAACCAAAGCCAUUCUUCCUGUUAUUCUGUGUCCCAAAUAAAUUUAUAAAGCAAAUAAUAAAGCCAUUAAUGCCUGAAACAGAUUGCAUUUGUUUUGACUAUUCCUAUCUGAAUGUUGUUUCUAUAGUUGCUUGCUUGAGUCACUUUAUUAGUAAAGUGAUGUUCACUUCAAUUAAACAGAGAACAAAAUUAGCAUCUUGCCUAGUUCUCAGUCAUAACAAACAUUGAUGCCAGGGGCACAAUUCAAAACGGCAAUUAUUUGCUAGUGGGAUGUGCGCAAAUAUUGGGCACUGCAUAACUUCUCAAGGUUGGGAUAGCACCAGUCUCAUUUCCUGCAGUACUUGCUUUCUAUAAUAGCAAACCAUCCAAAUCCAUCUUUGUGAAGAUAUGAUAUCAUCAAAAUGAACAUAGCAAAUCUAAUGUCCUACCAGUUGUUAGGAUGUGUCUGUGUUUUCCCUGAACAUUUAAAUUAUCACGUGGCAUACUUUGAAGUUCUUUGUGUAGGUUAGGAACCAUGGGUUUAGAGGUUAGGUUUUGCUUAAUGCAUUGACUUUGAUCAGUAUCAACGGUCCCUAUUAUGUGCUUCAAAAAAUUUUAAUAUGAAAAUAAGGAGUAUACUCUCUCAACUUAGUUUUUAAUGGAUUUUUGAUGUCCCACUAAAUCUAGUAGAUCUUUUUCCAUGUUUUCCUUAGAUUAAGUCAUGUAUACUACAGUCAGUAUCCUCUAUUUAUUACCUUUGGUCUUGAUAAACAGCAAUAGACUUACCCACAGCACUACAUACAGUGAACUGAGGUAUGUUCUCAUUGAUGAGAUAUGAAACUGAGUUUCAUUAUUAUCCAAAUUAAAGAUAUAAUAAAAUUCUUUAAUAAUUUGAAGACUGGCAUACCAUACUCUCAACUAAUUUUAACAAAUCAAGACCUAUAGGUCUGUGGCAUUAUUUCUUUCCUGUUUGCUUCUCUGAGGUUAGAAGCUGUAUUAGGCAAGUGUAUCACCUGACUAUCUCUGGGGGAUUCCUGGCAUCACUGUUAGGAGACAGGGCUGCGGACUGGGAUCAUUUUAGAAUUGUCAUGAGUGAAGUGUGUUAGCUAUCAAAUACUAUACUUCUGAGACAUGGAGAAGAUCCCUUGGGCCUCUAAUGUGUUUGGAAUAGUUCAUUAGCAAACAUUAUUCUCAGGUAAAUUCACACAGAAGUUUCCUCUUCCUAACUCACAGUUGUUGGAGAAAACAGAGCUGACAUUUAUUCUCACUCACCUGGGAAUAACUAGUAUUUGCCUUUUCAAAGAGCUUUCUAAUGAUGCAAUUUAUGUAGUGCUCAAUUGUGAAAUUUUUGACCCCAUAUCUGGAGUUAUCCUACCUCUCAGAAUACCACAUCCCUGACCAACAUGUAAGCAUGACAAAUGCAUUAUAGCAGCAUCUUUUAGUGAAGAGUGACAGUAAUGACAAGAGAGGGUAGCAUGAUAGACUGUGGAUUCAGAGAAGGUUGAGUUUUUACAUAGGUCCACUACUUAUAGAUGUAUUACAUUAAGCAGUUACUCUAAUUCCCUAAGCUUCAACUUUUCACAUAUAAGAUGAGAACAAAAAUAACUCAUAUGGUAAUUGUGGAAAUGAAAAUCAUUAUUGCAUAUAGAAAGCAUAUAAAGUCCUGCGUCUAGCAUGCAGUGUAUGUUGAAUAAAUUGCAAGAGUUAUUGUCAUGGCCAGUUACCAUUAUUAACGAUAAUGUCUGAACAUCUGACAGGAAAAGAAGGCAGGUAGUUAAUUGUCAGGAGACUUGUAUAUGUUUUGAAUUGAAGGGGAUCAAAUUCAGAGUGCAACCUUUGGUUGUGCAUUGUUCAGUGUACUGUUGGGAUCAAUGGUGCCCCUUCCAUCCACAGUUGAUUACAACUCCAGGAGCUUGCACUUUUUUAAAAAACUGGAUGAUAUAAGUAAUCACCAAUUUUCCUAUAAAAAGCUUUUGGAACAGUGGUCUAUUUAGGAUAUAUGUUAAGUAGCCUAAUGAGAUGUGUAAUCUUGACAGGUAGAUAACAUUGAUAAGGAAUAAGAAGUUCUGGUGCAGGAGAAGGACAGGAGUUUGGGGAAGGGGAAAAGGAUGGGAGGAAUAAAUUAGGAGUUUGGGAUUAAAAUAUACAAACUAUUACAUAUAAAAUGGACAACCAACAAGGACUGACUUACAGCAAGGAGACUAUAUGCAAUAUAUUAUAAUGAAAUAAUGGAAAAAAGAAUAUAUAUAUUAUAUAUAUUUUCUACAUAUAUACAUAUACAAAGUUUGUAUAGUUUAAUCACUUUGCUGUACACAUGAAACUAACAAAACAUUGUAAAUCAACUACAUUUCAACAAAAUUUUUUUAAAAAAGGAUCGGAGACCAGGAGAGUAGAAUUUUCUUUGCUCUGCAGGUUUUCCCAUUUAAGCAGUCCCUGUGACUCCCUAGAAAUUUACACCUCUGUAGAGAUAUAGCAAAUGGAAAAGUGUUCGUUUCCAAAUCUGUCCCCUCUGAGGAACUCUCCUGCUGGGCUUAAACUGACUGUUCAUUUUAGGCCUCAUUUACUAUUUUGUCUUCAGAAGUGUUUUCAGUAUGAACAGUGAAAGUUGCUUUAAUUUUACUUGUUCUUAACCUAUUCAUGAAAAAAUAAAAUUUUCAAAAACUGCAAGAUUCAAAAAAAGAAUAAACACAGUUACAAAGAUUAGGUUCAGGUUUCAACAAAGAAUUUACUAGUUUAGAAAUUAGGUGCAAUAGAAUGAUAAACCUAUUUCCAAAUAUCUCCAUGGGAUAUUUCACGACUAAAAAGUAUUAAAAUCCAUUUAUUCCACCUCACCAAAUCCUUACCAUAUUAUUAACUGUACUUCACCAAAGGCAGAAUUUGAUCUACCUGGGAUUUGUGCUCAUCCCAAAAUUUUGGCAGGUUAGUCAAAACAAAAGGAAAUUAAAAAUCAGAGUCCUUGACUUCCAGGUGGUUGAUUAGCUCCAAUGGCAGUAUUACCUUUGCUACAAUUACUGUUCAAACUUAGAAAUUUACUAACUUAAGAGCAAAGAAAAAUCAUACAAAUUAAAUUCAGAGGGUGAGACAAUAGGUUUUUGAGAGAUAAAGCAUAUUAGAUCUACAGACAUUUACUGAGGUGGAAGCAGGGCUAACUUAGUAGGUGUUUUGCAAAAUGAUAUAUUUAGGGUUAAGGAAAAAAGGAAAGCCAUUUACGUGGUUUAUAACAAUUUAAUUCACAUGGCAUAAGAAACAUAAAUGAAGGUAGGGUCCAUUUGUUUAAAGGUGUAUUAAGUAAAUGCAAAAUGACAGCAAAUGAUCAAAGACCUAGAACAGGUCCACUCAACUCUUGGUAGAGGUCCUUAACCACAAAACCUUGGUU